UGAGAAUCAAUUUGUGAGGCAGGAAACCUGCUAGCAGGACUCUCGCUUUGCUGAGUUAAUUUUUCCUUUUUCCUUUCCACCCAAUAAGUUCCAUUUUCCUCACCCUUCUAUGUAUCCACAAGCCUAAUCAUUCCUGGUUGUGUGACAAGAGGCCAGUUUUAGCUGAACUAAGGAGAAAGUUCUGCAACAUUUUUGGCAUCCAGAUAUGGGGCUCGAGGAAAGGAACCUGUAGGAGGAUGUGAGACAGCACCUCGGGGCACAGAUGGCAGGCAGAGCCCCAGACUCGGAAACUGGAAGUAGUUCUCCAGGGUUGAUUUUAGGAGCAGAAGACCACAGCCUGAACUUGAUUAUCAUCUUGGCAGCUACAGAAAGGCUGAGAACUGACAUUGCCAUCACAUCUGUUCACUUCUCCCACUGAAAAUUGGUAUGGUGGUACUGAUGAAGUAAUUGAAACUACCAGAACUUGGGAAUGCCUUGGACAGAGACACUGUUCCAUCAUUAUCAAGUAUUCAGUGCGAUAGCUGAGAAAUCUGAGACCAUUCUAAUCUUCAUUAUAUUGGUACAAGAAAGGUGAUUAUAAACAUUUACAUUUGUAGUUGGGGAUGAAAGAUUUGAACUGUGCCUACCAGAGGGUCCUGAUCUGAAAAGAGGGUGAUAAUAGAAUACAGUAUGAGACAUUUCUGUUGAUGGGUAAGAAUCAUCACUCUGAAACAAGGCUGCCUGAAUCUGGAUCCUGGCUCUACCGCUUUCCAGCAACAUUGUGAGGAUUCAGCAAGUCUAGAAUUAUAAUCCCUAAUAUUUAUUUUUUAAGUAAAGGAUGGGAUGUCUGCUAAUUUCAAGUCAGCACCAAACUGGUUCUGGAGGCUGUGAAGUCUGAGGUCAAUGGCCCACAUCUGGUGAAGGCCUGCUCGCUAGUGAGGACUCUCUGGAGAGUUCCAAAUUGGCACAUAGCAUCAUAUGGUUUCUCUCACAUCGACAUAGAAACUCUGCUGACAUUGAUGACUUGCCUGGUGGUGUGAUACAGAUGAUCAUUCAUGAAGGGUCUGAGCCCCUUGCUACUACACCCUGUUCAGGCCUGGAUUGCUGCAUGUAUUAUGACAAUGGAAAUUGAGUACCAAAGAAACAUCCUAGAGGCUUAACUGGGGACCACACAUAGUCCUUUUUGUCCCCAUGGGAUAUAAGUCACCAUAUGUCCUCUUGAUGAUCAGCAUCGAUUAUCCCUGACAGAGUGGUGACUCCUUUUAUUACCUUCUGGUUCUUUCACACAAGGAGCCAGGAAUGCCAAGGCAGCAGUCACAGUUUAUAAUUAAAUGUUAAUCUUGCUGAGUCCUCUGGCAUAAAUGUUCUCCAUUUGGAACUGAAGACCUCUGAACCUGCAAAUUCCACAGUUUUAGGGAUAAGAAUAUUUUAUAAGUGAGUGUCCGAGUUGAUGAGAAGAACUUCUUGGUUCCCAGAUUCAUCUCUUCUUGCUAUAGAAAUGCAGCAUUAUAUAAAUGUCUUUUAAUUCAAGGUAUAAAUGGUCUUGGAGAAUGACACGCUAAUCUAGUAAGUAUCACCUCUGAAUUGGUAUUUACGUUGUGUCUUUAAGAAGUUGUUUCAAUGCUCCCAGAGACCGGCAGCUUCUGAGGAGUGACCAGUCCUGCUCCUUGUUAUAAUGUAAAUCCUCUGAGACGACACAAUGUUGUAUGGAAUCCCAUACUGCUGGGUCAAACAUUCAUAAUAUUUCAAAUUGUGAGGGCUUAUGGAAUGACCUUGUUGCAGAAUUCCUGGGGCCUGAGUUAUGACUCUUCCUCUGGUUUUUUUUUAAACAAACUCCACUUGGCAUCCUUUUGCCAACACUAAUAUCUCCAAUACCAUAUGGCCUGCCAGAUCAUAUGUCCCCAGGUGGUAAUGUUUCAGGUAGACAGGUAUGAGCUAGCCAGGAGAAGGUUCUCCCUGCACCACCAGAAAUGUCAGGCAAUCAUCAGGUGAUGGUUUGGCAGUUAUAUUGCCUCUCAAAAAAUGGUAAUUUGGCAGCUGGCACCAGGGAGAGACAAUCUCCUGAUGGUCCACAGCUGUCACACUAAAGUGUUAAUUGAAUGCAGGUGCCAAGGGGAGGCAACUUCUUAAACAGAUAAAAACACUUGAGAUUGGUAAGCAGCUUCCAAUAAAAUCUCAGGAAUUGGGUGAGUGAGCGCAGGCAUGCAAAUUAAGAGACAAAAUGGCAGAGUAUGACCUUCUGGGGGCAUUCCACCAGAAAAGGGAAGAAAGCCUCAGAUGGGCAUGUGUACAACUUUCUAAACACACUGAGCAUGCUGCAUACUGCAUAUGUGGCCAGCCCUCCCUAUGGGAAGAAUCAUGGGAAAAAGGAACAAGACACUGGGAGUGGGCCAGCCUAUAAAGUCCCAGAAUCAAAGUUAAAUGCCACACUUAUCGUUCAAGUUGCCCACCUGGGUCUCUUCCACGUGUAUUUACUUUUCUUUCCUGUUGAAAAGCCUUUUUAAAUAAACUUCCACUCCUGCUCUGAAACUUUCCUUGGUGUCUUUUUCGGCCUUAUGCCGCUCAGUCGAAUUUUUUCUUCCGAGCAGGCAGGAAUUGAGGUUGCUGUAGACCCAUAUGGGUUCGCCCCCAUAACUCAAG
rnacentral:lncRNA from 10 species